rnacentral:rRNA from 1 species
CGGCCCGCCGCAGGAACCCUAAGCUCUGUUUUUAGUGGAACUUCUGAGUAUAAAAAACAAAUAAAUCAAAACUUUCAACAACGGAUCUCUUGGUUCUGGCAUCGAUGAAGAACGCAGCAAAAUGCGAUAAGUAAUGUGAAUUGCAGAAUUCAGUGAAUCAUCGAAUCUUUGAACGCACAUUGCGCCCGCCAGUAUUCUGGCGGGCAUGCCUGUUCGAGCGUCAUUUCAACCCUCAAGCCCAGCUUGGUGUUGGGAGCUGCAGUCCUGCUGCACUCCCCAAAUACAUUGGCGGUCACGUCGAGCUUCCAUAGCGUAGUAAUUUACAUAUCGUUACUGGUAAUCGUCGCGGCCACGCCGUUAAACCCCAACUUCUGAAUGUUGACCUCGGAUCAGGUAGGAAUACCCGCUGAACUUAAGCAUAUC